UACGUAGGGUGCAAGCGUUGUCCGGAAUUAUUGGGCGUAAAGAGCUCGUAGGCGGUCUGUCGCGUCGGCUGUGAAAACCCGGAGCUCAACUCCGGGCCUGCAGUCGAUACGGGCAAACUGGAGUGUUGCAGGGGAGACUGGAAUUCCUGGUGUAGCGGUGAAAUGCGCAGAUAUCAGGAGGAACACCGGUGGCGAAGGCGGCUAUCUGGACAGAGUCUGACGCUGAGGCGCGAAAGCUAGGAGGA
rnacentral:rRNA from 1 species